AAAAAAAUCAAGAAUGCAAGUGAAUUUGUGCACGGAAUUGAAUUUUAUUAUCAUAUCUAUAUCUAUAUAUAUAUAUAUAUAUAUUUUUUCAGAAACAUUUAUGAAAAAAUUCCUGAAGUUCUAACUUAUUUCCACAUGUUUUUUAUGGAUCCUAUUCGGAUUGCUCCAUACUAAUUGAGGGAUCCGUAAUUGAGAAACGAAACCCUUUUCCAAAUAAUUGAAACCCUAAAAAGUUGUUGCGACUUAAUUCUAUGGAUCAAGAAGAGGAGGCGGCAGUGAGGAAUCUCUUUAUCGUGUUUUUAUUGGAUUAAGAUCAACUCUCGAGUGAUGAAACUAAUCUCCAUCCUAGAGGUUUGCUUUGUUUCUCAACUGCCGCUGUUUGAUCCGAUGGCUGGUAGGAUAUUACGACGGCUUUGUGGCUCAUAUGGUUCUUAAACUUAUCGGCUUUUUUUUGGGAACAACCACGAGACCAGCCUUGAUUUCUUUAUUGGGUCUCCCUGAUCCAAGAUGGUUUUGAAGGAUGGACAAUUUUCACAACCAAAUUUGUCUUCUUAAUCUCAUUUUUGAGUUUCAAGCCAACCAUAGGAGAAGGUGGUAUUAUUUGCACAUUGCCAAACAGUUGCAGGUGAGUUAUCUUUUUCGAUUUCCACUACUCAUUAAUCAGUUUGGUUGGCUAGCCCCAUCAGUGACAUUUCCACUACUCAUUAAACAUUGCUUAAUGAGUGUCAGACACAUUCAUCAGUCAAAGCCCAACUCUCAAGUCUGCUUUCUCCCUAUCAAGUGAUGAUAUAUUUUGCUAUCUGGGAACAGGUUUAUUCUCUUGAUGAGAGAGGGAUCUUCUUCAAAACAAUGAUUCUAAACAGAUAUCCUGAUUGUGAAUAUAUUUCAUUUUACACUUUAUCAGGUUUGGGGCUGAAUGCUUCUACUACUGCUGCCAAUCUAUCUAAAGAGGAGGACCAGAUGUUUGCCUCCUGUAGAUUUUCUGAAGACAGUGCAGGCAAUGAGCUCUUUGCAUUGCUGCAAACAUUGAACGUGAUGGAAGUAUUACAACAUGUGAUACGAAAUCAUGGAAACGAAAAGAGUCAAAGCCUAUAAAAAAACAAAUCUAUAUUAGCCUUUAAUGUCUCAGCUGAUGCGAUGGAGUGAGACCAUAUGUGAUGGGGCAGAUCUUGGUUUUCUAUAUAAUGGCCCUGAGAAAAGUUUUUUGGUCGUUUUCAAACGUAUGAGACUGCUUGCCUUAGUGACUGCGUGAACACCGGUUUCUUCGUGGGUCACAGGCAUAUAAGGAUAAGAAGAAGACGAAAGGAUAGAAGAAUCAGUAAGAGACAUAUCGAAUCAAUGAGAUUAAGAAGAAUUAGAGAAGAAGAAAGGAAGAGAUAAUGUGUCGGUUUUAGUUUUUUUUUUUGGGUAAAUAACCUUCAACUUCUGUACUUUUUUGGUGACAUUUUUCCUUUUUUAAGUAACCACCACAUUGGUUUCUCCAUUAUAAUCUUCAUUUGGUAAUAUAUGAUUUGGAAAUUAAUAAUAAAUUGUGUGAUAACAAUUGACAAAUUUUCCCAGCAAAUUUAU